AGUUUGAUCCUGGCUCAGAUUGAACGCUGGCGGCAUGCCUUACACAUGCAAGUCGAACGGCAGCACGGGAGCAAUCCUGGUGGCGAGUGGCGAACGGGUGAGUAAUAUAUCGGAACGUGCCCAGUCGUGGGGGAUAACGCAGCGAAAGCUGUGCUAAUACCGCAUACGAUCUAUGGAUGAAAGCGGGGGAUCGCAAGACCUCGCGCGAUUGGAGCGGCCGAUAUCAGAUUAGCUAGUUGGUGGGGUAAAAGCCCACCAAGGCGACGACCUGUAGCUGGUCUGAGAGGACGACCAGCCACACUGGAACUGAGACACGGUCCAGACUCCUACGGGAGGCAGCAGUGGGGAAUUUUGGACAAUGGGCGCAAGCCUGAUCCAGCAAUGCCGCGUGCAGGAUGAAGGCCUUCGGGUUGUAAACUGCUUUUGUACGGAACGAAACGGCGAACUCUAAUAAAGUUUGCUAAUGACGGUACCGUAAGAAUAAGCACCGGCUAACUACGUGCCAGCAGCCGCGGUAAUACGUAGGGUGCAAGCGUUAAUCGGAAUUACUGGGCGUAAAGCGUGCGCAGGCGGUUAUAUAAGACAGAUGUGAAAUCCCCGGGCUCAACCUGGGACCUGCAUUUGUGACUGUAUAGCUAGAGUACGGUA
rnacentral:rRNA from 1 species